UCACGUCAUGAAAGUCGGUAACACCCGAAGCCGGUGGCCUAACCCCUUGUGGGAGGGAGCCGUCGAAGGUGGGAUCGGCGAUUGGGACGAAGUCGUAACAAGGUAGCCGUACCGGAAGGUGCGGCUGGAUCACCUCCUUU
rnacentral:ncRNA from 1 species